GUACUGAUGAAGAGUCCCAUACUAGGACAAAACAGAUGUCUAGUAC
rnacentral:hammerhead_ribozyme from 1 species